rnacentral:rRNA from 1 species
AAUAUUGGAAAAUGGGCGCAAGACUGAUCCAGCCAUGCCGCGUGUGUGAAGAAGGUCUUCGGACUGUCAAGCACUUUAUUUUGGGAGGACGGGCAGUUAACGAAUACUUAACUGUUCUGACGCUACCAAUAGAGUAAGCACCGGCUAACUUCGUGCCAGCAGCCGCGGUAAUACGAAGGGUGUAAGCGUUAAUCGGAAUUACUGGGCGUAAAGCGCGCGUAGGUGGUUCAUUAAGUUGGAAGUGAAAGCCCCGGACUCAACCUGGGAAUUGCUUUCAAAACUGGCGAGCUAGAGUACGGUAGAGGGUGGUGGAAUUUCCUGUGUAGCGGUGAAAUGCGUAGAUAUAGGAAGGAACAUCAGUGGCGAAGGCGACCACCUGGACUGAUACUGACACUGAGGUGCAAAAGCGUGGGGAGCAAGCAGG